rnacentral:rRNA from 1 species
UACGUAGGGGGCUAGCGUUGUCCGGAAUCAUUGGGCGUAAAGAGCGUGUAGGCGGCCCGGUAAGUCCGCUGUGAAAGUCGGGGGCUCAACCCUCGAAUGCCGGUGGAUACUGUCGGGCUAGAGUGCGGAAGAGGCGAGUGGAAUUCCUGGUGUAGCGGUGAAAUGCGCAGAUAUCGGGAAGAACACCCGUGGCGAAGGCGGCUUUCUGGGACGGUACUGACGCUGAGACGCGAAAGCGUGGGGAGCGAACAGG